CAUAGGUUAAUGAGGCGAACCGGGGGAACUGAAACAUCUAAGUACCCCGAGGAAAAGAAAUCAACCGAGAUUCCCCCAGUAGCGGCGAGCGAACGGGGAGCAGCCCAGAGCCUGAAUCAGUGUGUGUGUUAGUGGAAGCGUCUGGAAAGGCGUGCGAUACAGGGUGACAGCCCCGUACACAAAAAUGCACAUAUUGUGAGCUCGAUGAGUAGGGCGGGACACGUGGUAUCCUGUCUGAAUAUGGGGGGACCAUCCUCCAAGGCUAAAUACUCCUGACUGACCGAUAGUGAACCAGUACCGUGAGGGAAAGGCGAAAAGAACCCCGGCGAGGGGAGUGAAAAAGAACCUGAAACCGUGUACGUACAAGCAGUGGGAGCACGCUUAGGCGUGUGACUGCGUACCUUUUGUAUAAUGGGUCAGCGACUUAUAUUCUGUAGCAAGGUUAACCGAAUAGGGGAGCCGAAGGGAAACCGAGUCUUAACUGGGCGUUAAGUUGCAGGGUAUAGACCCGAAACCCGGUGAUCUAGCCAUGGGCAGGUUGAAGGUUGGGUAACACUAACUGGAGGACCGAACCGACUAAUGUUGAAAAAUUAGCGGAUGACUUGUGGCUGGGGGUGAAAGGCCAAUCAAACCGGGAGAUAGCUGGUUCUCCCCGAAAGCUAUUUAGGUAGCGCCUCGUGAAUUCAUCUCCGGGGGUAGAGCACUGUUUCGGCAAGGGGGUCAUCCCGACUUACCAACCCGAUGCAAACUGCGAAUACCGGAGAAUGUUAUCACGGGAGACACACGGCGGGUGCUAACGUCCGUCGUGAAGAGGGAAACAACCCAGACCGCCAGCUAAGGUCCCAAAGUCAUGGUUAAGUGGGAAACGAUGUGGGAAGGCCCAGACAGCCAGGAUGUUGGCUUAGAAGCAGCCAUCAUUUAAAGAAAGCGUAAUAGCUCACUGGUCGAGUCGGCCUGCGCGGAAGAUGUAACGGGGCUAAACCAUGCACCGAAGCUGCGGCAGCGACGCUUAUGCGUUGUUGGGUAGGGGAGCGUUCUGUAAGCCUGUGAAGGUGUGCUGUGAGGCAUGCUGGAGGUAUCAGAAGUGCGAAUGCUGACAUAAGUAACGAUAAAGCGGGUGAAAAGCCCGCUCGCCGGAAGACCAAGGGUUCCUGUCCAACGUUAAUCGGGGCAGGGUGAGUCGACCCCUAAGGCGAGGCCGAAAGGCGUAGUCGAUGGGAAACAGGUUAAUAUUCCUGUACUUGGUGUUACUGCGAAGGGGGGACGGAGAAGGCUAUGUUGGCCGGGCGACGGUUGUCCCGGUUUAAGCGUGUAGGCUGGUUUUCCAGGCAAAUCCGGAAAAUCAAGGCUGAGGCGUGAUGACGAGGCACUACGGUGCUGAAGCAACAAAUGCCCUGCUUCCAGGAAAAGCCUCUAAGCAUCAGGUAACAUCAAAUCGUACCCCAAACCGACACAGGUGGUCAGGUAGAGAAUACCAAGGCGCUUGAGAGAACUCGGGUGAAGGAACUAGGCAAAAUGGUGCCGUAACUUCGGGAGAAGG
rnacentral:rRNA from 1 species